ensembl:lncRNA
GGACUGUAAGUCGCCAGCCCCUGAGAACCACUGCUUUUCUUCCUGAGCUCUUCCCACACGCCCACACUUCCUUCUUCCCUACGAUUGGCUGACUUCUCAUUUGCAUAGCUCUGUCCGUGUGCACGCAGGCCAUCCGGGCUUGCGCUCCUUUUUUAUUACAGCUUGCCCAAUAAUCCUUUUGUAUGAUCACACUGCAUUUGAUUUACUCAUCAAUUUAUCUAUAGGUACCUGACUUCUUCUUUCUCACUUCUGUAAAUACAGCAGGAUGAUAUUCCAUUGUAUGACUAUACCAUGCUCACACAUCCAUCCAUCAGUUAACGGGCACAGAGGCUGCUCCCACUCUCUGGCUACCAUGAAGAGCAGCUAUGAACAUGGAUACGUAAGCAUCUGUGUGAUGGGGUAUCCGUUGGGUAUAUGCCAAGGUUGGCAUAGCUGGGCCAUAUGGUAGACCUAUCAUUUCUAGGCUUUUGAGGAAUCCCCACACUGAUUUCCAUGUAGCUACACCAGUUUAUAGCCCCACCUGUGAAUAAGUACCCCCCUUCCCCCAAAUCUAUACCACCGUUUAUUGACUUUUUUGAAAAUUUUUGAGUUAUCUUUGACUGGGGUUAAAUGAAAUCUCAAAGUGGUAUUAUUUUCAUUUCCCCCCGAUGUGAUUGAUCUUGAAGAUUUUAAAAAUUAUUUCUCGGCAAUUUGUAUUUCUCCUUUUAAAAACCCUCUGCUUAGUUCCACAUUCCAGACUUAAAUUGCAUUGGGUUUUGGCUUUUUGUCUUGUUUUAGUUCUUUGUACAUUUUAGACAUUAACCCCCAGCCGGAUGUAUAGCCGGUAAAGUUUUUUUCUUAUAGGCUGUCUCGUCACUCAUAGAGUGGUGUGUUUUGCUAUAUAGACACUUUUUAGUUCCAUUGAUCCCUUUUUACCAAUUAUUGGUCCUAAUGUCUAUCCUACUGGGGUCCUGUUUGAAGUGGACACUUAAGGGCUCUUUGGCAAGUCAGUUGUGUUGGAAGGCGUUUUACUUGGGCAAACACGUGAAGGAGUGUUUUCCUGAAGUGGAAACCAGUGACAGGCUAAAGUAGACUCAUGAAGGGAUGUCUCACUAAAGCAGACACAGGUGAAAGGAUGCUCUGCUAAAGCAAGCACAUGAAAGGACACGUGAUGAAGGAUUCUUCGCUAAUGACGCGCACGUAUUGGUUCGCCUUACAUUGUAUAGUUGAGCUGCAUUUGUUUGGACUCCAUAACUUCUGGUGGCGUGCUGCAGUUUCUUGCUGCUUCCGUGGUCUUAGGUUGUUUGGCAGAGUGAUGUCAGCUGAGACAGACUCAUGUGCCGAGGAAAGACACAUGGAGGACCCGUGAUGAUUGCUUGGCUUGCUGGUAUAGCUAGCCGUGCAAUGCUUGUUGGUCUCUUGUCUUCACUGAUCUUUGCUUCCCUGAGAGAGGCACAGCUGAGAAUGUCUGGCAUUCCUCUGGGUCCUUCGUGCUAACUUGAGCAGAGGCUGAGGCCUGGCUGUCUCUGCUAGGUUGUCACUGCUGUUGCUAACUGGAUUCUGCUGAGCUGAACUGCUGGUGUUAUCAGUGAAGUGCUUGCAAAGGAUCGAGCUGCUGCCGCCAGAUGACCUGUGAAUUGAACUGCUGAUUUCCAGACAACACAGACUGGAGUUGCUUCAGAGAACCUUUCUAAACAGGACACCUGACGGAAACAACCUAAAGAAUGAAGAAGGGUUUGUUAUUGUUGUUUGCUGUGUGAGAGAGUACGCCGGCUGCUGCUCACAUGAUCCCAGCUGUUAGGAAGUAGAGACAAAAACACUGACUAGAACCAGGGCCAGACUGCUGCCCAGAAGGCCUGCCACCCCAGGGAUCACUUCCUCCCGUGAGGCUCCACCUUCUAAAGGUUCCAAAACCUUCCAAGCCAGCUGCCAGCUGUAACCCGAUGUUCAAACACACGAACCAAAUGGGGGUGUCGAAUGGCCAAACCAAAACACGAUUCAAGUGAAAAACUGAAAGACUACUGUUGUAACCUAGAUAGAAUGGUGCGUGCGUGCGUGCAUGUGUGUGUGUGUGUGUGUGUGUGUGUGUGUGUGCGUGCGUGCGUGUGUGUGUGUGUCGGGGGGGGGUUGGGCCUGAAGAGAAGACAGACACACGUAAAGCAGAAUCAGGUUUGACUAACUGACUGAAUGAAAAGAGACAAGGGAGGGUCUGACCCAAGAUUACACAGCUUGGGAGUGGCAGUGGUAUCACGAAUACGAACAGAGAUGGGAACGAGGAGACGCUCAUGGGUUCUAUUUUUAAUAUAGCAUGGCAGGGUGCUAACAGGGAAUUAGGUAUGAGGAAUGUGACUGGAGAGAGAGAGAGGUCACCUCUGGAGACCGCCGCUUUGGGAACUGUGUGCAUCGAAGUGCUAAUUAAACCCACAGGGCUGAUUGGAAGCUGCCAAACCAGGAAGCCCAGGGAGAGCAGAGUCUGCAUCAGACGCAAGCGGGCCAGGAGAAGAAGCUGGGAAGAAAGACUACCCAGUGCCAGAUGCAUCCCGGGCUGCUGGAUGAAGCAGAUAAAGUGCCCCCUCUACCCAAAACAAAAGCCUUUCACUCACAUAAUUCUCUGCUCUCUAAACUUCUGUUUGUUUCCACUGUAAAAGUUGUUUUCUUUCUAGUCCUUUCGUAGCCUAUUAGCUUUUUCAGUCUCAUAGUCCAGUAAUCUAAACAAACCAGCAUCAAUCAAUAAAAUACUCUACUUUCUUUCUGGGCUCCUGUACCAUGCAACACAUUCUAACACGUUCCAGUUAUGGUUUGGAUGGGGCUAGUCCUCCGAGGGCACUUAUGUAGGGAAGUUUGGUCCCUAAUGUAGCCGUGUUAGGAGCUGUGGUGUUAGCGCACACUUGUCAUCUCGGCAUUCAGAAGGAAGAGGUGGAAUGAUUAGCAGGCAAGCCUUAGAUCUACAGAGGUGAUGCUUACAGGACAUCCUCUCUACCGCAUUUGGUGAUUGUGGGUAAAUUGGGAUCAGGGAGAGCAGCAGCAGCAAGCACCUUGCAUCUUCUGAGUUGUCUUGUCUCUCUGGAGCGAGUAGAAGCUGUUAAAGCUCCCAGCCCUUGAGCACCAGUUGGCACUGUGGUUUCUUCAGUCAGAGGGCAGCAGGUAUGGGCUCUGCAGUGCUUCCUUGCUCGAAUCGCAGGUCACCUUUGGGUCCCAGAUCCCACGGGUCACUCUCUUAAAACUACGAUUCUUAAAAAGAACUUUUGGAUCACUUUUUUCCUUUUAACAAUGUCUGUAGCUGCAAACAUGGCUUUUUUUUU